rnacentral:tmRNA from 1 species
GGGCUUGUAAAGGUUUCGACUGGGGUUUUGAAACUGGUGAAGCAAUCCGUAUGCAAUGCGUUAAAUGGCAAAUCUAAAUAUAAACGCUAACGAAAAUUUAGCUUACGCUGCCUAGUUGCAGCAGUCUGACCUAGGGCACUCACACCUUAGGACCCAGGCUUCGAUUAUGUGAGAAACGACAUAACCUAAGCUUUGCGGUUAUGGGCGUAUCAUGAAGCUACUAAAAUCAGCAGGGUGUUAGUUCCCGGCUGAUGGAGGGAACAAAACAGGGCGAGCCUGUUUAUAAAUAACUGACUAAGAUUGUAGAAGAACAGCGGAGGAGCUUUAGGACAGGGGUUCGACUCCCCUCAGGUCCACUU